rnacentral:rRNA from 1 species
GACGAACGCUGGCGGCGUGCUUAACACAUGCAAGUCGAACGGAAAGGCCCUGCUUUUGUGGGGUGCUCGAGUGGCGAACGGGUGAGUAACACGUGAGUAACCUGCCCUUGACUUUGGGAUAACUUCAGGAAACUGGGGCUAAUACCGGAUAGGAGCUCCUGCUGCAUGGUGGGGGUUGGAAAGUUUCGGCGGUUGGGGAUGGACUCGCGGCUUAUCAGCUUGUUGGUGGGGUAGUGGCUUACCAAGGCUUUGACGGGUAGCCGGCCUGAGAGGGUGACCGGCCACAUUGGGACUGAGAUACGGCCCAGACUCCUACGGGAGGCAGCAGUGGGGAAUAUUGCACAAUGGGCGGAAGCCUGAUGCAGCAACGCCGCGUGCGGGAUGACGGCCUUCGGGUUGUAAACCGCUUUCGCCUGUGACGAAGCGUGAGUGACGGCAAUGGGUAAAGAAGCACCGGCUAACUACGUGCCAGCAGCCGCGGUGAUACGUAGGGUGCGAGCGUUGUCCAGAUUUAUUGGGCGUAAAGGGCUCGUAGGUGGUUGAUCGCGUCGGGAAGUGUAAUCUUGGGGCUUAACCCUGAGCGUGCUUUCGAUACGGGUUGACUUGAGGAAGGUAGGGGAGAAUGGAAUUCCCUGGUGGAGCGGUGGAAUGCGCAGAUAUCAGGAGGAACACCAGUGGCGAAGGCGGUUCUCUGGGCCUUUCCUGACGCUGAGGAGCGAAAGCGUGGGGAGCGAACAGGCUUAGAUACCCUGGUAGUCCACGCUGUAAACGGUGGGUACUAGGUGUGGGGUCCAUUCCACGGGUUCCGUGCCGUAGCUAACGCUUUAAGUACCCCGCCUGGGGAGUACGGCCGCAAGGCUAAAACUCAAAGGAAUUGACGGGGCCCCGCACAAGCGGCGGAGCAUGCGGAUUAAUUCGAUGCAACGCGUAGAACCUUACCUGGGUUUGACAUGGAUCGGGAGCGCUCAGAGAUGGGUGUGCCUCUUUUGGGGUCGGUUCACAGGUGGUGCAUGGCUGUCGUCAGCUCGUGUCGUGAGAUGUUGGGUUAAGUCCCGCAACGAGCGCAACCCUUGUUCACUGUUGCCAGCACGUUAUGGUGGGGACUCAGUGGAGACCGCCGGGGUCAACUCGGAGGAAGGUGGGGAUGACGUCAAGUCAUCAUGCCCCUUAUGUCCAGGGCUUCACGCAUGCUACAAUGGCUGGUACAGAGAGUGGCGAGCCUGUGAGGGUGAGCGAAUCUCGGAAAGCCGGUCUCAGUUCGGAUUGGGGUCUGCAACUCGACCUCAUGAAGUCGGAGUCGCUAGUAAUCGCAGAUCAGCAACGCUGCGGUGAAUAAGGUCCCGGGGCU